UCAAGAACGAAAGUUAGAGGUUCGAAGGCGAUCAGAUACCGACCUAGUUCUAAACAUAAACGAUGCCAGCUAGCGAUCCGCCGAAGUUCCUCCGAUGACUCGGCGGGCAGCUUCCGGAAAACCAAAGCUUUUGGGUUCCGGGGGAAGUAUGGUUGCAAAGCUGAAACUUAAAGGAAUUGACGGAAGGGGACCACCAGGAGUGGAGCCUGCGGCUUAAUUUGACUCAACACGGGAAACGGGUUUCCGUAGGUGAACCUGCGGAAGGAUCAUUAACGUUCCGGAGGCUGCGCUCUGCUCCGCGCGCGCGCACUCGUGUGUGCUGGGGCAGUGUGAGACGGCGGCGACUGGAAGAGGACGACGCGCGCCUUUUUCUCAGAAAAGGCGAUGCGCGUCGCAGACAGAAAGAACGCACCGUGGCGAGCGCGACAGCGCGAGCCAACGCGUGCGAGAUCUCGCGUGGAAUUGACGGAUAGAGAGAGCAAGCGAGAUC
rnacentral:ncRNA from 1 species